rnacentral:rRNA from 1 species
AGCAGCCGCGGUAAUUCCAGCUCCAAUAGCGUAUAUUAAAGUUGCUGCAGUUAAAAAGCUCGUAGUUGAAUUUCGGGACUAAUAUGUCGGUCGUGCCUCGGUACGUACUGGUAUUUUUGGUUUCUCCCUUCUGACGAACCUUGAUGUCAUUAAUUUGGUGUCUUGGGAAAUCAGGACUGUUACUUUGAAAAAAUUAGAGUGUUUAAAGCAGGCUCACGCUUGAAUACAUUAGCAUGGAAUAAUGAAAUAGGACGUUUGAUUCUAUUUUGUUGGUUUCUAGGAUCGACGUAAUGAUUAAUAGGGAUAGUUGGGGGCAUUAGUAUUCAAUUGUCAGAGGUGAAAUUCUUGGAUUUAUUGAAGACUAACUACUGCGAAAGCAUUUGCCAAGGAUGUUUUCAUUAAUCAAGAACGAAAGUUAGGGGAUCGAAGACGAUCAGAUACCGUCGUAGUCUUAACCAUAAACUAUGCCGACUAGGGAUCGGAUGAUGUAAUUUUUAAUGACUCAUUCGGCGCCUUACGG